rnacentral:lncRNA from 1 species
AUAUAGCGUGUUCUCCUUCAUGGAGAGCACGUGUUGCGGUGGGGUCUGCUGAGCCACCCCUCUGUUACCAGGCAGGGUCUCUAAAGAUGGCCUGGGGCAGUGAUUGGUUCACUGGGUUGCUGGGGUAAAAGUUAUGUUGCAAUUUUGGUGGGAGGGGUAAAAUGUUUAAAUACUCUGCACGCAGCCUGGAGCUUUCUCUUUGCUGCGUGCAACGGAUCACCUGGAGCACUUGGACCGUCUGGAGGACAGUGGAGCGAUCUUCUCAUUGUCUGGUUACAUUUCUUUAUUUUCCCCUUCUUUUUAAUCUUCUCUAGUCCCUUAAUUAAUUUAAUUCCCCCUUUUUUCUGUUUGAUUUCCCACCCCACCCCUUACCCUGCCCUUUGGGAAGAUUCUCCCUGUUCCUGUGGGCGCUGCCUGUGCAUAAUCCUCCUGGGCUUGCCUUUCCCAAUAGGGAGAGAGCCCCCAUUAGGGGCUUUCUUUUGCAAAAAGGCUUUCCCCAUUUUCGCCUGUUUAAUUGUGGGGCUAGCCAGGGCUGCUCCCAGCUUACCUGGAAUCACUUUCAUUUAUAGUAUCCCCAUAGGUUGGCUUUAUUUUGGGUGCGUGCAGUGCUGUUGGCCAAAUUUUAAUCUAGCCUUGGGCGGGAGCACUGUUUUGAGUUCCUUUAAUAUUGCAAUGAGACAAAAAAGGCAGAGAGCAGAAGCAGGGAGGCCUGCACGGCCUGCACAUAUCAUUCAAGCCUAAGCCUGCUACAGUUAGCAGUACAGUAAAUUCCCAGCUUACCUGGAAUCACUUUCGUUUAUAGUAUCCUCAUAGGUUGGCUUUAUUUUGGGUGAUUGCAGUGCUGUUGGCUGAGUUUUAAUUUAGCCUUGGGCGGGAGCACUAUUUUGAGUUCCUUUAAUAUUGCAAUGAGACAAAAAAGGCAGAGAGCAGAAGCAGGGAGGCCAUCACGGCCUGCACGGCCUGCACAUAUCAUUCAAGCCUAAGCCUGCUACAGUUAGCAGUACAGUGAAUUGUUAAGUUUCUGUAACAUGUGACUCAUUCUCUCUAUAAGAAUGUAUCUGUUGUUUGCAGGCUCACUUGUUGCUAAUGUAUAGCUUAGGCAGACAGAGUGGAGCCAGAGGCUCUCUGUGCCUCCAAUGAGCACUCUUUGUAUGCUCUUUAACUAUGCUGUUUCUGAACAAGUUUAUUUUCUUCAAGUUUGUUUUUCCCUGAUAGUGGCGACUGCCAUUUUAGAGACAAGCCAUUGUGGCUUAGUGGCUAGAGUACAGGACUAGGACCUGGGAGACAGGGUUCAUAUCCCUCACUUAGCCAUUGUUAUAACAAGGCAAAACAAGCUGCUCCUUUUGGACUAUUUUGUUGCUGGGUAGUUUGGCCCAUUUGUGAUAUUGCUCCCAAAAAGAACUUUGGGUUUCUUGAGGAGGUGCUUCCCUCUAAAGGGCAAGCAGGGGUACCUGGACAUGCGGUGGGCUGCCUCGAGUUUGUUAUCUCAUUGGAAACAUUUAUGUCUGGCCUAGCAGGUGAUCCUAGGGCUUGGCCCGCUUGGCCCUAGAAUUUGAUGGCCUCUGGCAGCGUUUCUGGCCUGAAUAGCGUCCCCAUGUGGUGCACAAAGCAUUGGUUUCACCUGUUCCUCACAUUGUUUAGGUUUUUUCUUUUCGCAGACUAUGACAGGGCCUUUGCAGAUGCCUCCAGAGCUUGCCUCUCCUGCAGAGGAUGACUUGUUGAUGCCCCAGGUGCCUUCUUCAGGAAGGAAGCGUCUUCAGAGGCAGGAAAAAGCAUAGCAGGGAUGAUGCUUACACCUCCUUGCAGGUAAAUCAUCACUGGGCUCUGAUGAUGAUUCAGACAUCACCUUGGACCUCUCCAGGGGUCAGGGUGAGGCUGUUCCAGGUCUUUAGGGAGCAUCCUGGAUAGCUCAGCUGGUCAGCGUAUGGUGCCGGUAAUGCCUAGGUUGCAGGAUUGGUCCCUGUAUGGGACAGCUGCAUGCUCCCUCAUCACUUUACCCGGACACUGAGGUCCAGCGCCGAGGGCCUUUCUGGUGGUUCCCUGACUGUGAGAAGCCAAGUUACAGGGAACCAGGUGGAGGGCUUUCUCGGAAGUGGCACCUGCCCUGUGGUACACCCUCCCACCAGAUGUCUACUACCAGACUUUUAGAAGACAUCUAAGGCAGCCCUGUUUAGGGAAGCUUUUAAUGUUUGAUGCAUUACUGUAUUUUAAUAUUUUGUUGGAAGCUGCCCAGAGUGGCUGGGGAAGCCCAGCCAGAUGGGCGGGGUACAAAUAGAUGAUGAUGAUGAUGAUGAUGAUGAUGAUGAUGAUGAUGAUAUUGUGGGAGAGUGGACUAGAUGAUCCUAGGAGUCCCUUCCAACCCCACUAUUCUAUAAGUGGUAAUUCACUAUGAUGGGAAUGUUAGACGCAGGGCUGCCAUCAUCCCCUUAGCUCGCUAGGAUCGCAGGGACGGGGACAUGUGGACCACUUGCGCAGCUCCACAUUUCAAAUGGAAAUUCCCUGAGCAAUAGAACCUGAAGCUGGUAUGCAGGAAGCUGGCCCGGUGGCAGCUUUGUUGGGACUUCUUUAGGGUCUCUGGCCAGUGUUGGCCCUGUAAAUUUACACAUCAUGGUGGCAACACAAGGCAGGGCUUCUUGCCCAAGCGGGGGGCUGGCAAGCAAUAACUCAAUACCUCUCGCCCAUAUUUCCAUAAAAAUAUCUCCCUUUAAAGCCUGGCUAAAAGGUUAUCUAGAUGCGUCAGUAGCUUUGUGCUUGUGGGAAGGGUUUUUCCCAAGGUUUCGGGAUUCCUCUGGCUUUUCAGCCAGUGGCUCAGAAUACAGCAACUCAAAAGUCAGUUAGAGUCUGUGGUAGCCAGAAAGUCUGUGGUAGCCAGAAAGAAGGUUAGGAAGCAGCUUGCAUUGGGACGUAUGGUGGGAUCCCCUUGAUUCUCCUUCUAGUCCCGAUUUUCAUUUAUCCCCAUUGGGGAUCGUCCCUAAGAAAGCCCCAUAUAAUUCCAUCUGAUCCAUAUUUAUCGCACCCCAAAGGCACCUCAGUGAAUGAUGCUAUCCCUCCGGAAUUGUUCCGUGAAAUAUGCAUCUUUGGAUCAGGCAGUUGAGCUUACCAACAAAUUGGAGGAGGUGCCUUGUUGGCAUUAUGCGAUAUUGAAUCGGCUGUUAGGCUGCUGCCGGUUCACCCUCAAGAUUUUAAGUAGUUAGGCUUUAAUUGGAUGGUCCUUAUAUGGAUAAGGCGAUGCCAGUUGGUUGCUCAAUAGGCUGUGCAGCACUUGAGUCCUUUAGCGCCUUUCUGGAUUGAACAUUGCGAGUCAAGACUCGUUUAACUGGGGGUAUCGUUAUGUGGAUUAUUUUACUGGCUGGUUCAUGUGACACCAGCCUCUGCUUAGCUUACUAGAUGCCCCUUUAUUCCCUGAGGAGCUGGGUGUUCUGUUGGCAGUGGAGGACAGUGGCUCCUACUGCCCCUUUUAAUGUAUUUGGGGGCUAGCUGGAUACCGUUGCUCAAACAUCUGCUUGCCUGUGGAAAAGCUGUUUGCCUUGAAGGAUGUUAUUCUUGUAAUACUUCCUCUGAAGCAAGUGUUGCUUUGUCAGAUCCUAUCAUUCCUAGGUCAGUUAAAUUUUGCAUGCAGGGUGGUUGCUCCAGGCUGCCCCUUCCAUUCCUGCUUGGCCAGGUGGUCUCAUGGCCCGGUGUCCCUUCAUCAUCAUGUACAGUGGCCUUGAGCCUGGCAGGGCAAGGCAAUCACAUGUAACCUAACUUUUCUUGAGUUUUCCUCAUUGUAGUGUCAGCGCACAUCUGGACUGAGGAGUUUAGGGACCGUCAGGUCUGUCUUGGUCUGAUAACCAGGCAGUGUGAGAGUCCUGGCAAAACGGUCUUCAUGCUCUGGCAGAGUCUUCGCACUGCUUAAGGUUUAAUAUUGCGUUUCUGCUCACUUUAUUUCGGGAUCAUCUAAUGUUUUUGCUGUGGCUCUAUUUUUCAGUUGGAGAGCUUCAGAUCCUGGGCUCUGGACACCCAGCUAUUUUUCUGGAGCUCCUGUGGCACUUGGCAACAAUUAAUAAUUAUGAGGAAUAGUAGCUUACGUUUCCCCAUCCGCUUUCAGGUCUUAUGAGAAGGCCUGGACUGAUUUCUUAAAAUUUAGCUGGUAGUCCUCGGCCAUUCAGAGGAACCUGCCCCCAUCCUCUGAGCAGGACCUGCAGUAAUUCGCCCACCUGCUGCAGAUAGGAUGCAGUGUUAAAACUAUCAGAAUUCAGUCCGCUGCAAUGUCUGCUAGAGUAAAGCUUUA